AUUAAUGUGGCCGAAUAGGCGAUAGAUUGUAAAUCUAUAUAUGGUAUUAAUACCCUUAAUC
rnacentral:tRNA from 1 species